GACGGAGGAUGCAAGCGUUAUCCGGAAUGAUUGGGCGUAAAGCGUCCGCAGGUGGCAGUUCAAGUCUGCUGUCAAAGACCGGGGCUUAACUUCGGAAAGGCAGUGGAAACUGAACAGCUAGAGUAUGGUAGGGGCAGAGGGAAUUCCUGGUGUAGCGGUGAAAUGCGUAGAGAUCAGGAAGAGCAUCGGUGGCGAAGGCGCCCUGCUGGACCAUAACUGACACUCAGGGACGAAAGCUAGGGGAGCGAAUGGG
rnacentral:rRNA from 1 species